GGGGCGGUAGCUCAGUUGGGAGAGCACCGGCUUUGCAAGCCGGGGGUCGUGGGUUCGAAUCCCAUCCGCUCCA
rnacentral:tRNA from 1 species